rnacentral:rRNA from 1 species
UACAGAGGGUGCUAGCGUUGUUCGGAAUCAUUGGGCGUAAAGCGUGCGCAGGCGGUUUGUUAAGUCUGAUGUGAAAGCCCCGGGCUCAACCUGGGAACUGCAUUGGAAACUGGCAGCUCGAGUAUGGCAGAGGGGGGUGGAAUUCCGCGUGUAGCAGUGAAAUGCGUAGAGAUGCGGAGGAACACCGAUGGCGAAGGCAGCCCCCUGGGCCAAUACUGACGCUGAGGAGCGAAAGCGUGGGGAGCGAACAGG